GAUGAACGCUAGCUACAGGCUUAACACAUGCAAGUCGAGGGGCAGCAUGAACAAAGCUUGCUUUGUUUGAUGGCGACCGGCGCACGGGUGCGUAACACGUAUCCAAUCUGCCCGCGGCUCGGGGAUAGCCCAUCGAAAGAUGGAUUAAUACCCGAUGGCGUGGUUUCUCCGCAUGGAGUUUCCACUAAAGGUUUUCCGGCCGCGGAUGAGGAUGCGUAUGAUUAGGUAGUAGGCGGGGUAACGGCCCACCUAGCCUUCGAUCAUUAGGGGUUCUGGGAGGAAGGUCCCCCACACUGGAACUGAGACACGGUCCAGACUCCUACGGGAGGCAGCAGUGAGGAAUAUUGGUCAAUGGGCGAGAGCCUGAACCAGCCAAGUAGCGUGAAGGAUGACUGCCCUAUGGGUUGUAAACUUCUUUUGUUCGGGAAUAAAGUGCAGUAUGUAUACUGUUUUGUAUGUACCGUUCGAAUAAGCAUCGGCUAAUUCCGUGCCAGCAGCCGCGGUAAUAC
rnacentral:rRNA from 1 species